GUGAAUCAUCGAAUUUUUGGACGCAAAUUGCACUCUCUUCGGAGAGUAUGCCUGUUUGAGGGUCAGUAUUUAUAAAAAUCGGUGUGUUGCUUUUUUGCGACGCUCCGGAGUUUGGGUUAUCUUAAUAUCAUUUAGGUUUUAUGUGGCUUAACUUUGACUUUUUUUGUGCAUUUUAGAUGUACUUCUAUUCUUUUUUUUUUUCGUCUGUCUUAAUGUUCAUUUUUAUAUUAGAUGAGACCAA
rnacentral:misc_RNA from 1 species